rnacentral:rRNA from 1 species
UGGGGAAUCUUGCGCAAUGGGCGAAAGCCUGACGCAGCAACGCCGCGUGUGUGAUGAAGGUCUUCGGAUCGUAAAGCACUGUCGCGAGGGACGAAUAAGCCUUUGGCUAACAUCCAGGGGCGAUGACGGUACCUCGAGAGGAAGCACCGGCUAACUCUGUGCCAGCAGCCGCGGUAAUACAGAGGGUGCGAGCGUUGUUCGGAAUUAUUGGGCGUAAAGCGCGUGUAGGCGGCUUAGCAAGUUGGGUGUGAAAGCCCUCGGCUUAACCGAGGAAGUGCGCCCAAAACUGCUUGGCUUGAGUACCGGAGAGGGUGGCGGAAUUCCCGGUGUAGAGGUGAAAUUCGUAGAUAUCGGGGGGAAAACCAGCGGCGAAGGCGGCCACCUGGACGGAUACUGACGCUGAGACGCGAAAGCGUGGGGAGCAAACAGG